rnacentral:rRNA from 1 species
UACGUAGGGAGCGAGCGUUAUCCGGAUUUAUUGGGUGUAAAGGGUGCGUAGGCGGUUUAAUAAGUCUAUGGUUUAAGUCCGAAGCUUAACUUCGGUUCGCCAUAGAAACUGUUUUACUUGAGUAUAGUAGAGGCAAGUGGAAUUUCUAGUGUAGCGGUUAAAUGCGUAGAUAUUAGAAGGAACACCAGUGGCGAAGGCGACUUGCUGGGCUAUUACUGACGCUGAGGCACGAAAGCGUGGGGAGCAAAUAG